AAGAUGAAAUGGCAAGUGAAAUAUUCAGUGUUCAACAAGCAACAUCAUCCAGACCAAUUGAGAGUACCUCAUCAGGCUCACUUAUGGAUCAUGGCAUAACAACAUCUGCAACUUUGUACGUGCUUUGGAUUUCAACUGCAGAUAUUGAGGAAAGGUGUCCAGUUCAGGCGAAAGAAGUGCUGGAACAGUCACUGUCUUCUGUCCUAAGUCAUCAGACAUCGCUUUCUGACCAAGCACUGAGAUCUUUGUCAGCCCAGUCACCACUGGCCCCAACAUCUCCUCAAGUGCUGUCGACCAUGCCCAACUCCUCAGAAACAUCAACUUGGUUCUCCUCCUGGGCACCUGUGUCCCAGCCUUCCACUCAAGUGAUUAUCAUUGAGGACCAGGCACCAGCUUCUCCAUUAACUGAGCAACCUAUAAUUCUACUGGAAGACCAAGAAGAGUCACCUGA